AUACUAUAUAUUACAGAUAAACUUCAAAAAUACUUAUCUUCCAUCUAGCAAUCCAGUAUCAGACUCUCUUAAAUUAUUUGCUGAAAAUGAAAUGAUGCUUACCGUAUCAUGGCAAUGAUAGCGAGACGAAACUUGGCGUAAGUUAUUUCCUUUGGGAAAUUAAAAUUACCAGAAGACACUUGCCUUUGUACAUACGCAACAUAAUAUUUGUACAUAGGUAAACUGAACAAGAAUAAAAAAGAAAAAACAUUCAAAAGA